rnacentral:rRNA from 1 species
UUUUUAUUUUGCGGGACCUCAGAUCAGGUAGGGAUACCCGCUGAACUUAAGCAUAUCUUAAGCGGGGCAAAAAUGUC